CGAGCAUCAGUGAUGAGUUAUUCCUUUGUUAUCCUUGCACUUUGAUUGUCAGUGAAGAAAAACCAUGGGCAAAGCUUACUCUGAGAUGCUC